rnacentral:rRNA from 1 species
GACGAACGCUGGCGGCGUGCUUAACACAUGCAAGUCGAACGGAAAGGCCCUGCUUUUGUGGGGUGCUCGAGUGGCGAACGGGUGAGUAACACGUGAGUAACCUGCCCUUGACUUUGGGAUAACUUCAGGAAACUGGGGCUAAUACCGGAUAGGAGCUCCUGCUGCAUGGUGGGGGUUGGAAAGUUUCGGCGGUUGGGGAUGGACUCGCGGCUUAUCAGCUUGUUGGUGGGGUAGUGGCUUACCAAGGCUUUGACGGGUAGCCGGCCUGAGAGGGUGACCGGCCACAUUGGGACUGAGAUACGGCCCAGACUCCUACGGGAGGCAGCAGUGGGGAAUAUUGCGCAAUGGGCGGAAGCCUGAUGCAGCAACGCCGCGUACGGGAUGACGGCCUUCGGGUUGUAAACCGCUUUCGCCUGUGACGAAGCGUGAGUGACGGUAAUGGGUAAAGAAGCACCGGCUAACUACGUG